rnacentral:rRNA from 1 species
AUGCUUAUGGUUCAUCCAGAAUCGUGGAAUCCAGAGUGGUCUGUAGCAAGGUAUGCACGCACUAAUCUGGUCAGUGAGUAUAAUGUGUUUUCUCUUCCCCGCAGAAUAUAUUUCUUCAUUGAGUUCCUUAAUACAUUUUUGGGGGUAUCUAAACCAAUACAUGCCGUUUCAGCUCCUAAAUUUGAAUGUGGAUUUGCGACCAUCAGAUGUUUCCUGUUUCAAUUUAAAGUACUUGAGUUUAUGGUCUUCAGUUACUUACCGUCAAAUCAUUCUUCAGUAGCAAGUCUUGUCAUCCUAUAG